rnacentral:rRNA from 1 species
GACGAACGCUGGCGGCGUGCUUAACACAUGCAAGUCGAACGGAAAGGCCCUGCUUUUGUGGGGUGCUCGAGUGGCGAACGGGUGAGUAACACGUGAGUAACCUGCCCUUGACUUUGGGAUAACUUCAGGAAACUGGGGCUAAUACCGGAUAGGAGCUCCUGCUGCAUGGUGGGGGUUGGAAAGUUUCGGCGGUUGGGGAUGGACUCGCGGCUUAUCAGCUUGUUGGUGGGGUAGUGGCUUACCAAGGCUUUGACGGGUAGCCGGCCUGAGAGGGUGACCGGAAAGAGGGGGAGUGGGCGGCGGCGCAGGCUCGUGGGGGAGGAGGGAGGGGGGAAGAUGCGAAGCGGUGGGGAAGCGGGAUGGAGGAGCGGCGGGCGGGUGAUGCGGGGCGGGGGGGUGUAGGCCGGUUAGGCGGGUGAGGGGGGGUGGGGGAGGGUAGGGAGUAAAGAAGAAACGGCGAAGUACGUGCCAGCGGCAGGGGAAAUAGUGGGAAGAGAAACCGUCGGCAC